CAAUGACAAUUCAAAUUUUGUAAGUAAGCUUUUCUUUGUUUUGCGUAUGAGAACACCAAACUGUUGUAAAAUAGCUAAAUAAACAUUUUGUAACAGAAAGUUCUAGUUUUUUAAGGAUCUGGUCUCUUCGAGUGGACAACAGUCAUUUGUAAAACAGUGUCAUGUUUUAAAUGUACUGGUCAGUGUGCAGCCCUUCACAGAAGGGUCCUUUCUGUGAUCCCUACAGACGGGUAUAGAGGCAAAUCCCAGGAGAUCAGCAGUUUCUGUAGUACUUACACCAGCCUUUUAAAUUACCCUUCUAUUCAAACUAAAUAUAAGUAGUGAUAUUGAAUUUUAAAUAAUUAAUUUGGAAACAGUCUGGAAUUUUCCCAAAAAUGUAAUUUUUAUGACCGCUAACAUAAUUAAGACAUGAAAAAAAAAUGGCUACAAACUCUUGUGUUUACUCAAUCCACCACCACCAACAGCACCACCAAAAACUUCACCAACAACACCAACCAUUGAAGCAACAGCAUCAACAGCACCGACCAUUGAAGCAACACCAUCAACAGCACCGACCAUCGAAGCAACACCAUCAACAGCACCGACCAUCGAAGCAACACCAUCAACACCACUGACCAUCGAAGCAACACCAUCAACACCACUGCCAACAGCACCGACCAUCGAAGCAACACCAUCAACACCACUGUCAACAGCACCGACCAUCGAAGCAACACCAUCAACAGCACCAGCCAUCGAAGCAACACCGACCAUUGAAGCAACAACAAAAAACCCAAGCACAGUAUCAACAACAAAAACAACAUCGUCAACAACAAGUACAACCGCAGCAUCAUCCCUGGUGAAUUCACAGCAGAAGAGUUGUUCAGAGAAAGGAAUAUCUUCAGAAAAAGAAACGGGAAGUGACAUCCAAACGAUUUCAAUAGGAGUUCUUAUCACGACGAACAUCAUUGUCCCCAUAGCUGUUUAUCUGUACAUGCGUUACCAGAUUCAACAGAUUCGAAACUUGAGGGAAGAAGAAGGAAUGACAGAGAUACAGCAAAACCCAUUUCCCACAGAUGUUGAAGAGGGUUCCAAUUUAUUAAUGGUAAUUUUUACUGUACUACUACUUUCAUAAACGGUGCCUUUAAAAGACUUAAUAUUUCACACAUGUGGUUUCCUUGACUGAUGAGACCAGACAAGACCUGAAUGGAAACACAGCCUUGACUGAUUUGAUAUUUGUUCCCACUAAGUGUUCUUUUUUUUUUUUUUUGUCAGCAGAGGUCCAGCUGUAACUACAAAAAUCUAUUUUUCCACCAACUGUAGGUUAAAAAAAAAACAAAACUGGGCCUGCUUAUGUGCUCAAUACUGGACUUCUCUCUGCUGGGAAGAAACGCACAGAUCACUGGGUUAAUUUUCCUUUGUGAGGAGCUGAUUAAAAAAACGAUGAAAGUUAGGCAAAAGUAGCAUUUUCUUUUUUUUUGUGACUAACAAUUU
ensembl:lncRNA